AACGAACGCUGGCGGCAUGCCUAACACAUGCAAGUCGAACGAUCCCUUCGGGGAUAGUGGCGCACGGGUGCGUAACGCGUGGGAAUCUGCCCUCAGGUACGGAAUAACUCAGGGAAACUUGAGCUAAUACCGUAUAAUGACUUCGGUCCAAAGAUUUAUCGCCUGGGGAUGAGCCCGCGUCGGAUUAGCUAGUUGGUGAGGUAAAAGCUCACCAAGGCGACGAUCCGUAGCUGGUCUGAGAGGAUGAUCAGCCACACUGGGACUGAGACACGGCCCAGACUCCUACGGGAGGCAGCAGUGGGGAAUAUUGGACAAUGGGCGCAAGCCUGAUCCAGCAAUGCCGCGUGAGUGAUGAAGGCCUUAGGGUUGUAAAGCUCUUUUACCCGGGAAGAUAAUGACUGUACCGGGAGAAUAAGCCCCGGCUAACUCCGUGCCAGCAGCCGCGGUAAUACGGAGGGGCUAGCGUUGUUCGGAAUUACUGGGCGUAAAGCGCACGUA
rnacentral:rRNA from 1 species